UACGUAGGGUGCAAGCGUUAAUCGGAAUUACUGGGCGUAAAGGGUGCGUAGGCGGCGCGGUAAGUCGGGUGUGAAAUCUCGGAGCUUAACUCCGAAACUGCAUUCGAUACUGCCGUGCUUGAGGACUGGAGAGGAGACUGGAAUUUACGGUGUAGCGGUGAAAUGCGUAGAUAUCGUAAGGAAGACCAGUGGCGAAGGCGGGUCUCUGGACAGUUCCUGACGCUGAGGCACGAAGGCCAGGGGAGCAAACGGG
rnacentral:rRNA from 1 species